AGUCGGGGGCUGUAAAGCUCUCGUCUACACCCCAUGUCUUUUGCGUACUCUUGUUUCCUCGGUGGCGCAAGCUGCCGAUUGGACAAACCAAAACCUUUUUUGUAAUUGCAAUCAGCGUCUGAAAAUAAUCUAAUUAUUUACAACUUUCAACAACGGAUCUCUUGGUUCUGGCAUCGAUGAAGAACGCAGCGAAAUGCGAUAAGUAGUGUGAAUUGCAGAAUUCAGUGAAUCAUCGAAUCUUUGAACGCACAUUGCGCCCCUUGGUAUUCCAUGGGGCAUGCCUGUUCGAGCGUCAUUUGUACCCUCAAGCUUUGCUUGGUGUUGGGCGUCUUGUCGUAUUACGACUCGCCUUAAAUUCAUUGGCAGCCGGCACUUUGGCCUAGGAGCGCAGCACAUUUUGCGAUCGUAGCCCGUUGUACUGGCGUCCAUCAAGAACAUUUACCACGUUUGACCUCG
rnacentral:rRNA from 1 species